ACAAGUUUAACGGCCGCGGUAUUUUGACCGUGCAAAGGUAGCGCAAUCACUUGUCUUUUAAAUAGAGACCCGUAUGAAUGGCUAAACGAGGGCUUAACUGUCUCCCUUUUCAAGUCAGUGAAAUUGAUCUACCCGUGCAGAAGCGGGUAUAACAAUACAAGACGAGAAGACCCUUUGGAGCUUAAGGUACAAAACUCAACCACACCAAGCAACUUAUAAAAAGUAAAAACUUUGUGAAACAUGAGGUUUUACCUUCGGUUGGGGCGACCGCGGAGGAAAAUAAAGCCUCCAAGUGGACCGGGACAAACUCCUAAAACCAAGAGAAACAUCUCUAAGCCACAGAACAUCUGACCAAACAUGAUCCGGCCACCAGGACCGAUCAACGAACCAAGUUACCCUAGGGAUAACAGCGCAAUCCUCUCCCAGAGUCCAUAUCGACGAGGGGGUUUACGACCUCGAUGUUGGAUCAGGACAUCCUAAUGGUGCAGCCGCUAUUAAGGGUUCGUUUGUUCAACGAUUAAAGUCCUACGUGAUC
rnacentral:rRNA from 1 species